UAGAGUUUURACCUGGCUCAGGACGAACGCUGGCGGCGUGCUUAACACAUGCAAGUCGAACGAUGAUGCCCAGCUUGCUGGGUGGAUUAGUGGCGAACGGGUGAGUAACACGUGAGUAACCUGCCCUUGACUCUGGGAUAAGCGUUGGAAACGACGUCUAAUACUGGAUAGGACUGCCGGCCGCAUGGUCUGGUGGUGGAAAGAUUUUUUGGUUGGGGAUGGACUCGCGGCCUAUCAGCUUGUUGGUGAGGUAAUGGCUCACCAAGGCGACGACGGGUAGCCGGCCUGAGAGGGUGACCGGCCACACUGGGACUGAGACACGGCCCAGACUCCUACGGGAGGCAGCAGUGGGGAAUAUUGCACAAUGGGCGAAAGCCUGAUGCAGCAACGCCGCGUGAGGGAUGACGGCCUUCGGGUUGUAAACCUCUUUUAGUAGGGAAGAAGCGAAAGUGACGUACCUGCAGAAAGAAG
rnacentral:rRNA from 1 species